rnacentral:snoRNA from 1 species
UUCCAUCUGCUGCUAAGGUUUCCACUAUAGAUGUAAGAAAAAGAAGGUCCUCACGCUUUCUCUCUGGUUGUGGUAGCCAAGCUUGAAUGGGGGAAUACAGAA